UCGUGGAGUGAUUUGUCUGGUUAAUUCCCUAAACGAACGAGACCUUAGCCUACUAGUUAGUAUUGAUGGAUCUUCUUCCUACAACUACUUCCUAGAGGGACAAUGUGCGGAAGCACACGGAAGCUUAAGGCAAUAACA
rnacentral:rRNA from 1 species